UCCGUAGGGGGCAAGCGUUGUCCGGAUUUAUUGGGCGUAACGAGCGUGUAGGCGGCCAGCUCGGUCGGUUGUGAAAACUGGAGGCUCAACCUCUAGACGGCGACCGAAACCAUUUGGCUAGAGUCCGGAAGAGGAGAGUGGAAUUCCUGGUGUAGCGGUGGAAUGCGCAGAUAUCAGGAAGAACACCCGUGGCGAAGGCGGCUCUCUGGGACGGUACUGACGCUGAGACGCGAAAGCGUGGGGAGCGAACAGG
rnacentral:rRNA from 1 species